UAAUCCCAUAAACCGUGGCUCAGUUCAGAUCGUAGGCUGCAACUCGCCUACGUGAAGUAGGAAUCGCUAGUAAUCGCAGGUCAGCAUACUGCGGUGAAUACGUUCCCGGGCCUUGUACACACCGCCCGUCACACCAUGGAAGUUGGCCAUGCCCGAAGUCGUUACUCCAACCCUUGUGGAGGAGGACGCCGAAGGUGGGGCUAAUGACUGGGGUGAAGUCGUAACAAGGUAGCCGUACCGGAAGGUGCGGCUGGAUCACCUCCUAA
rnacentral:rRNA from 1 species